GGGAUAGAAUUCCAGGAGUAGCGGUGAAAUGCGUAGAUAUCUGGAGGAAUAUCAAAGGCGAAGGCAGUCCCCUGGUCCGAUACUGACACUGAGGUACGAAAGCGUGGGGAGCAAACAGGAUUAGAUACCCUGGUAGUCCACGCCCUAAACGAUGUCGAUUAGCCAUUGGAAGGACCCCUUUUCCUUUCAGUGACGUAGCUAACGCGUUAAAUCGACCGCCUGGGAAGUACGACCGCAAGGUUAAAACUCAAAGGAAUUGACGGGGACCUGAACAAGCGGUGAAUGAUGUGGAUUAAUUCGAUGCUACGCGAAGAACCUUACCUACCUUUGACAUGGCCAAAGUUCUACCGAGAGGCGGAAGUACUCGUAAGAGGAUUGGCGCAUAGGUGCUGCAUGGUUGUCGUCAGUUCGUGUCGUGAGAUGUUGGGUUCAGUCCCGCAACGAACGCAACCCUUAUCUUUAAUUGCUCCUAUUUUAACAGGCACUUUAAAGAAACUGCCAAUGAUAAGUUGGAGGAAGGUGGGGAUCACGUCAAGUCCGCAUGGCCUUUAUAGGUAGGGCUUCACACGUCAUACAAUGGUUAGAACAAAGAGCUGCAAAUUCGUAAGAAGGAGCCAAUCUCACAAACCUAACCUCAGUUCGAAUUGCGGUCUGCAACUCGAGCGCAUGAAGCCGGAAUCGCUAGUAAUCGUGGAUCAGAAUGCCACGGUGAAUACGUUCUUAGGUCUU
rnacentral:rRNA from 1 species